AGUGAACGCUGGCGGUAGGCCUAACACAUGCAAGUCGAACGGCAGCACAGUAAGAGCUUGCUCUUACGGGUGGCGAGUGGUGGACGGGUGAGGAAUACAUCGGAAUCUACUUUUUCGUGGGGGAUAACGUAGGGAAACUUACGCUAAUACCGCAUACGACCUACGGGUGAAAGCAGGGGAUCUUCGGACCUUGCGCGAUUGAAUGAGCCGAUGUCGGAUUAGCUAGUUGGCGGGGUAAAGGCCCACCAAGGCGACGAUCCGUAGCUGGUCUGAGAGGAUGAACACCCACAUGGGACUGGAGCCACGGUCCAGCCUCCACGGGGGGGCGGCAUGGGGGAUUAUUGAACAAGGGGCCAAACCCUGCCCCACCCAUCCCGGGUGGUUGAAAAAGCCCUUGGGUUUGUAAGCCCUUUUUGUGGGAAAAAAAAACCAGCAGCUUAACCCCCCGUUUUCCUGACGGUCCCAAAAAAAUAAGCCCCGGCUACCUUCGUC
rnacentral:rRNA from 1 species